UACGUAGGGUGCAGGCGUUAAUCGGAAUUACUGGGCGUAAAGCGUGCGCAGGCGGUUUGCUAAGACAGGUGUGAAAUCCCCGGGCUUAACCUGGGAACUGCGCUUGUUACUGGCAGGCUGGAGUGUGGCAGAGGGGGGUGGAAUUCCACGUGUAGCAGUGAAAUGCGUAGAGAUGUGGAGGAACACCGAUGGCGAAGGCAGCCCCCUGGGCUAACACUGACGCUCAUGCACGAAAGCGUGGGGAGCAAAC
rnacentral:rRNA from 1 species